rnacentral:rRNA from 1 species
GAUGAACGCUGGCGGCGUGCCUAAUACAUGCAAGUCGAGCGAACAGACGAGGAGCUUGCUCCUCUGACGUUAGCGGCGGACGGGUGAGUAACACGUGGAUAACCUACCUAUAAGGCUGGGAUAACUUCGGGAAACCGGAGCUAAUACCGGAUAAUAUAUUGAACCGCAUGGUUCAAUAGUGAAAGACGGUUUUGCUGUCACUUAUAGAUGGAUCCGCGCCGCAUUAGCUAGUUGGUAAGGUAACGGCUUACCAAGGCAACGAUGCGUAGCCGACCUGAGAGGGUGAUCGGCCACACUGGAACUGAGACACGGUCCAGACUCCUACGGGAGGCAGCAGUAGGGAAUCUUCCGCAAUGGGCGAAAGCCUGACGGAGCAACGCCGCGUGAGUGAUGAAGGUCUUCGGAUCGUAAAACUCUGUUAUUAGGGAAGAACAAAUGUGUAAGUAACUAUGCACGUCCUGACGGUACCUAAUCAGAAAGCCACGGCUAACUACGUG